UACAAGUUUAUGCAUUUCGCUGAGCGGCUUUCUAGAGGUCGCUUUGCUUGUCUUGUCCACUGGGGUUACGUUUUGCCUUAAGGCAGUAAUAUUCAACUGCCCGAGUGGUUGUGACGCCUGGUACACCUGCACUGCCGGGGGUAUUCAGUUCAGCAGUGUGCAUACGUCUAGUUUCGUCGUCGCCCUUAAGUCAACAGCAACAACAACCCUUAAGUCAACAGCAACAACAACUGCCCGUUGUAUUGGUCUCAACUGACCAAUACAGUUGGUCUCCGGCGCUUGUGGACAGUAAAAGACAAAAAAUGAACCAUUAGGUGAAAGGAAACUUAUCCAGCCAUUUCUGGUCUGCCAGGGAACUGAACCCAGGAUUGCUGAUUGUGAGUCAAGAAGAAGCCACCUGUUCUAUGAAGCCACCUGUUCUAUGAGAGUCGACCUGGGACUGCUGUGAUGAAGGUUGAGUCAGUCUACCCGAGGCAGCCGUCUC